rnacentral:rRNA from 1 species
GAUGAACGCUAGCGGCAGGCUUAAUACAUGCAAGUCGUGGGGCAGCGCAGUGUAGCAAUACAUGGCGGCGACCGGCAAACGGGUGCGGAACACGUACACAACCUUCCCUACAAGUGGGGAAUAGCCCAGAGAAAUUUGGAUUAAUACCCCGUAACAUAUAAAAGAUGGCAUCAUUUUUAUAUUAUAGCUACGGCGCUUGUUGAUGGGCGUGCGGCUGAUUAGGUAGUUGGCGGGGUAAUGGCCCACCAAGCCUGCGAUCAGUAGCUGAUGUGAGAGCAUGAUCAGCCACACGGGCACUGAGACACGGGGCCCGACUCCUACGGGAGGCAGCAGUAAGGAAUAUUGGACAAAUGGGCGCAAGCCUGAUCCAGCCAUGCCGCGUGAAGGAUUAAAGGUCCUCUGGAUUGUAAACUUCUUUUA